AUUGAACGCUGGCGGAAUGCUUUACACAUGCAAGUCGAACGGCAGCACGGGGGCAACCCUGGUGGCGAGUGGCGAACGGGUGAGUAAUACAUCGGAACGUGCCCGGUCGUGGGGGAUAACGUAGCGAAAGUUACGCUAAUACCGCAUACGAUCUGAGGAUGAAAGCGGGGGACCUUCGGGCCUCGCGCGAUCGGAGCGGCCGAUGUCAGAUUAGGUAGUUGGUGGGGUAAAGGCCUACCAAGCCGACGAUCUGUAGCUGGUCUGAGAGGACGACCAGCCACACUGGGACUGGGACACGGCCCAGACUCCUACGGGAGGCAGCAGUGGGGAAUUUUGGACAAUGGGCGCAAGCCUGAUCCAGCCAUUCCGCGUGCAGGACGAAGGCCUUCGGGUUGUAAACUGCUUUUGUAUGGAACGAAAAGGCUCUGGCUAAUACCUGGGGCUCAUGACGGUACCGUAAGAAUAAGCACCGGCUAACUACGUG
rnacentral:rRNA from 1 species